GAUGAACGCUGGCGGUAUGCCUAACACAUGCAAGUCGUACGAGAGUUUUUUAACUCUAGUGGCGGACGGGUGAGUAACACGUGAGAAUUUUGCCUUUUAGGAGGGGGGACAACAAUUUGGAAACGAAUGCUAAUACCCCAUAUGCUUUCGAGUGAAAUGGAUUUUAUCCGCCUAGAGAGAAGCUCGCGGCUGAUUAGCUUGUUGGUAAGGUAAGAGCUUUACCAAGGCGACGAUCAGUAUCUGGUUUGAGAGGACGAUCAGACACACUGGAACUGAGACACGGUCCAGACUCCUACGGGAGGCAGCAGUGGGGAAUUUUCCGCAAUGGGCGAAAGCCUGACGGAGCAAUACCGCGUGAGGGAAGAAUGCCUAUGGGUUGUAAACCUCUUUUUUCAGGGAGGAAUAAAAUGACGUGUACCUGAAGAAUAAGCAUCGGCUAACUCCGUG
rnacentral:rRNA from 1 species